GACAAACGCUGGCGGCGUGCUUAACACAUGCAAGUGGAGCGACGAACCGGGCUUCGGCCCGGGGCCAAGCCGCGAACGGGUGAGUAUCACGUGGGUAACCUGCCCCGAUGACCGGGAUAACCCGAGGAAACUCGGGCUAAUACCGGAUGUGCUCUCCGCACAUCAGUGCAGAGAGCAAAGGAAGCUUCGGCCUCCGCAUUGGGAUGGGCCCGCGGCCCAUUAGCUUGUUGGUGAGGUAACGGCUCACCAAGGCUGCGAGGUGUAGCUGGUCUGAGAGGACGAUCAGCCACACUGGGACUGAGACACGGCCCAGACUCCUACGGGAGGCAGCAGUGGGGAAUCUUGCGCAAUGCGCGAAAGCGUGACGCAGCAACGCCGCGUGAGGGAAGAAGGCCUUCGGGUUGUAAACCUCUUUCAGGAGGGACGAAGGUCCAGGCGCGAAUAGCGUCCUGGACUGACGGUACCUCCAGAAGAAGCCCCGGCUAACUACGUGCCAGCCGCCGCAGUAACAC
rnacentral:rRNA from 1 species